rnacentral:rRNA from 1 species
UACGGAGGAUGCGAGCGUUAUCCGGAUUUAUUGGGUUUAAAGGGUGCGUAGGCGGAUCGUUAAGUCAGUGGUCAAAUUGAGGGGCUCAACCCCUUCCCGCCAUUGAAACUGGCGAUCUUGAGUGGAAGAGAGGUAUGCGGAAUGCGUGGUGUAGCGGUGAAAUGCAUAGAUAUCACGCAGAACCCCGAUUGCGAAGGCAGCAUGCCGGCUUCCUACUGACGCUGAAGCACGAAAGCGUGGGGAUCGAACGGG